AACGAACGCUGGCGGCAUGCCUAACACAUGCAAGUCGAACGAUACCUUCGGGUCUUGUGGCGCAGGCGUACGUUCAGCUUGGGAACCUGCCCUUCGGUUCGGUAUCACUCCCCGAACCUAGUGCUAAUACCGGGUUAUCUCCGCGAAACAAAGAUUUAUAGCCUUUGGAUGGGCCCGCGUUGCAUUCGCUAGUUGGUAGGGUAAAAGCCUGCCAAGGGGACGAUCCAUAGCUGGUCUGAGAGGAUGAUCAGCCACACUGGAACUGAGACACGGCCCAGACUCCUACGGGAGGCAGCAGUGGGGAAUAUUGGACAAUGGGCGAAAGCCUGAUCCAGCAAUGCCGCGUGAGUGAUGAAGGCAUUAGGGUUGUAAAGCUCUUUUACCCGGGAUGAUAAUGACAGUACCGGGAGAAUAAGCUCCGGCUAACUCCGUG
rnacentral:rRNA from 1 species